rnacentral:rRNA from 1 species
ACGGCUCACUAACACUUGGAUAACCUACCCUUAGGACCGGUAUAACCCCGGGAAACUGGGGAUAAUCCCGGAUAGAUGAUUCUUUCUGCAAUGAUGUUUCAUUUAAAUGCUCCCGCGCCUGAGGAUGGGUCUGCGGCCGAUUAGGUUGUUGGUAGGUUAAUGCCUUACCAAGCCGGUGAUCGGGACGGGUUGUGAGAGCAAGACCCCGGAGAUGGAACCUGAUACAAGGUUCCAGGCCCUACGGGGCGCAGCACGCGCGAAACCUCCGCAAUGCGAGCAAUCGCGACGGGGGGACCCCAAGUGCCACUCUUAACGGGGUGGCUUUUCUUAAGUGUAAAAAGCUUUUGGAAUAAGGGCUGGGCAAGACCGGUGCCAGCCGCCGCGGUAACACCGGCAGCUCUAGUGGUAGCCAUUUUUAUUGGGCCUAAACCGUUCGUAGCCGGUUUGAUAAGUCUCUGGUGAAAUCCUAUAGCUUAACUGUGGGACUUGCUGGAGAUACUAUUAGACUUGAGGUCGGGAGAGGUUAGCGGUACUCCCAGGGUAGGGGUGAAAUCCUGUAAUCCUGGGAGGACCACCUGUGGCGAAGGCGGCUAACUGCAACGAACCUGACGGAGAGGGACGAAGGCCAGGGACGCGAACCGGAUUAUAUACCCGGGUAGACCUGGCCGUAACGAUGUGGACUUGGUGUUGGAAUGGCUUCGAGCUGCUCCAGUGACAGAGGGGUAAUCUGUUAAGUCCACCGACUGUGAACUACGGUCGGAGACUGAAAC